GUGCCGCCAACAUGGUGUUCAGGCGUUUCGUGGAGGUUGGCCAGGUGGCCUACGUCUCCUUUGGGCCUCAUGCUGGGAAGCUCGUCACAAUUGUAGAUGUUAUUGAUCAGAACAGGGCUUUGGUUGAUGGAGCUUGCACUCAGGUAAGGAGACAGGCUAUGCCUUUCAAGUGCAUGCAGCUCACUGACUUCAUCCUCAAAUUCCCUCACAGUGCCCGCCAGAAGUAUGUCCGACAAGCCUGGCAGAAGGCAGGUAUCAGUACAAAAUGGGCAGCCACAAGAUGGGCCAAGAAGAUUGAAGCCAGAGAAAGGAAAGCCAAGAUGACAGAUUUUGAUCAUUAUAAAGUCAUGAAGGCAAAGAAAAUGAGGAACAGAAUAAUCAAGCUUGAAGUUAGGAAGCUACAAAAAGCAGCUCUCCUGAAAGCGUCUCCUAAAAAAGCACCUGCUGCUAAGGGUGCGGCUGCAGCAGCUGCUGCAAAAGUUCCAGCUAAAAAGAUGGCCGCUGUGGGCAAGAAGGCUCCAGCCCAGGAGGUUCCUGCCCCGAAAGCUGCAGGCCAGAAGGCAGCACCUCCAAAGGCUCAGAAGGGUCCGAAAGCUCCAGCUCAGAAAGCACCUGCUCCAAAGGCAUCUGGCAGGAAAGCAUAAAGAGUAUAAGAGGCAGAUCGGAAGAGCGUCGUGAAAGA